rnacentral:rRNA from 1 species
AACGAACGCUGGCGGCAUGCCUAACACAUGCAAGUCGAACGAGACCUUCGGGUCUAGUGGCGCACGGGUGCGUAACGCGUGGGAACCUGCCCUUAGGUUCGGAAUAACUCCCCGAAAGGGGUGCUAAUACCGGAUAAUGUCUUCGGACCAAAGAUUUAUCGCCUUUGGAUGGUCCCGCGUUGGAUUAGCUAGUUGGUAGGGUAAAAGCCUACCAAGGCGACGAUCCAUAGCUGGUCUGAGAGGAUGAUCAGCCACACUGGGACUGAGACACGGCCCAGACUCCUACGGGAGGCAGCAGUGGGGAAUAUUGGACAAUGGGCGAAAGCCUGAUCCAGCAAUGCCGCGUGAGUGAUGAAGGCAUUAGGGUUGUAAAGCUCUUUUACCCGGGAUGAUAAUGACAGUACCGGGAGAAUAAGCUCCGGCUAACUCCGUG